CUUUGAGGAGCCAUUUUCCUGCCUAGCAGUUAUAUUAUGGUGACUUGGCAGAGAAUUUUACUUGUGAAGAAAGGUGGAUGAUGGAAUAAUGAAGGAAAGCAUGACAGACCCACUGAAAUGAAUCCUUUGACAUUUGGCAGAGUGGAAAGUGCUGAAGAUGGAACCUGGAGCUUGCUGUGCUAGGCAAGUACUCUACCACUGAGCUACACUGAGCUACAUGCUGUACUGUGCAGCUCUAGAACCAAUGGUGAACGUGCUCGUUUCUACCUUCAGCAACUGGAGAACAUUUGGACACACGCAAGAAGCACAAUGGUGUGGAGAUAAAAAGAGGAAACAUAGGGGCGGAGUUCCCAUUACACGUAAUUGAUUUAAUGACUACUUCCCACACUCAACUGUCCGUCUCCAGCAUUCUUUUCAAAGUGGAAAUAAAUCUUGCAAAACUCAAUGGUAAAACUUUUGAUCUCAUCUUAGUCAUCAGUGCCUUGCUCAAGAUAAUAUUUCAGUGUUGG
rnacentral:lncRNA from 1 species